rnacentral:misc_RNA from 1 species
AACGCACGAGACCUGCGGACCUGCGGAAGGAUCAUUACUGGAAUCGCAAGAUCCCACAACCCUGUGAACCUACCGAAACGUUGCCUCGGCGGGUGCCCGGCCUCUGCGCCGGGCGCUGCGCCCGCCGGCGGCCCCCUACUCUGUCUCUGCAGCGUGGCAUCUCAGAGUCCCAGAAAACAAGUCAAAACUUUCAACAACGGAUCUCU